rnacentral:rRNA from 1 species
GGUUGCAAUCGAUUUAUUGUCAACUCAGAUAAUAUGGAAGUGAUUGAUACAAUGAAGAAUGGAGGACAAUCAGCGGCGGCGGCGGCGGCGGCAAUAUUCGACGAUUGCUGUUUUAUGGCUUGUGAUUUUCUUGUUACUAGGUUUGAGCAUUGUAGUAGGGAUGCAAAUAAGGUUGCUCAUGAGCUUGCUAGGUUAGCGAAAUUUUCCGAGGCUAGGGAUUGGCGUGAGGAGCCUAUGCACGGCAUUGUAUCUUUUUUUAUUGACGAUGUAACUGUUAUUUAUAAUCAAUAA